rnacentral:rRNA from 1 species
UGAGGAAUAUUGGUCAAUGGGCGGAAGCCUGAACCAGCCAAGUAGCGUGCAGGACGACGGCCCUAUGGGUUGUAAACUGCUUUUAUGCGGGGAUAAAGUGGGCCACGCGUGGCCUUUUGCAGGUACCGCAUGAAUAAGGACCGGCUAAUUCCGUGCCAGCAGCCGCGGUAAUACGGAAGGUCCGGGCGUUAUCCGGAUUUAUUGGGUUUAAAGGGAGCGCAGGCCGCCGGGCAAGCGUGUUGUGAAAUGCAGUCGCUCAACGUCUGCACUGCAGCGCGAACUGG